AAUCUGGAACAGAGAUCUAGGAUCACCAAACUUGGCCAGUUCCAAGCCUCCUACUGAAUCCUCAGAGGCUCCAGGAAGAAGCAAGGAUGGAGAUUCCCCUGGGAGCUUCACUGAUGCUCCUGUGUCUGCAGCUACCCUGGUCAAACCAACAACCACAGGUAGAACAGAGCCCAGCUUUCCUGAAACUCCAGGAAGGAGAGAGCUUCACACUCAACUGUAGUUACACAGACCGCAAUUUCAACUCCUUCCAGUGGUUUAGACAGGAUCCUGGGGAAGGCCUCAGCAACCUGAUGCGAAUGCAAUCAUAUGAGAAGGAGAAGGUGAGCAGAAAACUCACAGCCAGAGUUAACACGGAGGGCCUGCACUUUUCCCUGCACGUGAGGGAUUCUAAGCUCCCGGACUCCACCACAUUCCUGUGUGCAGCAAGCACACAGUGUGGCACCUGCACCUGCACCUGCACCUAAACCCUGCAGAGCCCUGCACUGCCCCCUAUAGGGGCUCCAGGACACUGACUGUACCUUGGGUCUGAGCAAAGGGAAAAGGGAGGGGCUUUUUAUACCAAAAUGUCAAAUAAUUUUUAUUUGAAACCACAUGCACAGGGAUAAAUAAUGUGGUCAAGUACCAUCUGAUGUAUUUUGUUUCUCACUCUGAAGUUCUUACUCCUUUAAAACUAGUACAAAACCCUGAGGUUUAUUAUCAGAGAGGUGAGAGCAUGAAAAGAACAAAGAGAGAAGAGAGUAA